rnacentral:rRNA from 1 species
UACGUAGGUGGCAAGCGUUGUCCGGAAUCACUGGGCGUAAAGCGCGCGCAGGCGGCGAUCUACGUCUGGGGGUGAAAGCCCGGAGCUCAACUCCGGGACUGCCUUGGAUACGGGAUCGCUUGAGGAUUGGAGAGGCAAGGGGAAUUCCACGUGUAGCGGUGAAAUGCGUAGAGAUGUGGAGGAACACCUGUGGCGAAGGCGCCUUGCUGGCCAAUUACUGACGCUGAGGCGCGAAAGCGUGGGGGAGCAAACAGG